rnacentral:rRNA from 1 species
GACGAACGCUGGCGGCGUGCUUAACACAUGCAAGUCGAACGGAAAGGCCCUGCUUUUGUGGGGUGCUCGAGUGGCGAACGGGUGAGUAACACGUGAGUAACCUGCCCUUGACUUUGGGAUAACGUCAGGAAACUGGGGCUAAUACCGGAUAGGAGCUCCUGCUGCAUGGUGGGGGUUGGAAAGUUUCGGCGGUUGGGGAUGGACUCGCGGCUUAUCAGCUUGUUGGUGGGGUAGUGGCUUACCAAGGCUUUGACGGGUAGCCGGCCUGGGAGGGUGACCGGCCACAUUGGGACUGAGAUACGGCCCAGACUCCUACGGGAGGCAGCAGUGGGGAAUAUUGCACAAUGGGCGGAAGCCUGAUGCAGCAACGCCGCGUGCGGGAUGACGGCCUUCGGGUUGUAAACCGCUUUAGCCUGUGACGAAGCGUGAGUGACGGUAAUGGGUAAAGAAGCACCGGCUAACUACGUG